UAUAGACCCGAAACCCGGUGAUCUAGCCAUGGGCAGGUUGAAGGUUGGGUAACACUAACUGGAGGACCGAACCGACUAAUGUUGAAAAUUAGCGGAUGAACUUGUGGCUGGGGGUGAAAGGCCAAUCAAACCGGGAGAUAGCUGGAUUCUCCCCGAAAGCUAUUUAGGUAGCUGCCUCGUGAACUCAUCUUCGGGGUAGAGCACUGUUUCGGCUAGGGGUCAUCCCGACUUACCAACCGAUGCAA
rnacentral:rRNA from 1 species